rnacentral:rRNA from 1 species
CACGUAGGGUGCGAGCGUUAAUCGGAAUUACUGGGCGUAAAGCGUGCGCAGGCGGUCUCGUAAGACAGGUGUGAAAUCCCCGGGCUCAACCUGGGAACUGAGCUUGUGACUGCGAGGCUAGAGUGCGGAAGAGGGAGGUGGAAUUCCACGUGUAGCAGUGAAAUGCGUAGAGAUGUGGAGGAACACCGAUGGCGAAGGCAGCCUCCUGGGCCAGCACUGACGAUCAUGCACGAAAGUGUGGGGAGCAAACAGG